GUGGGGAAUAUUGGACAAUGGGCGCAAGCCUGAUCCAGCCAUGCCGCGUGUGUGAAGAAGGCCUUCGGGUUGUAAAGCACUUUUGUUCGGGAAGAAAAGCUACCGGUUAAUACCCGGGAGUCAUGACGGUACCGAAAGAAUAAGCACCGGCUAACUUCGUGCCAGCAGCCGCGGUAAUACGAAGGGUGCAAGCGUUACUCGGAAUUACUGGGCGUAAAGCGUGCGUAGGUGGUGCGUUAAGUCUGUCGUGAAAGCCCCGGGCUCAACCUGGGAAUGGCGAUGGAUACUGGCGCGCUAGAGUGCGGUAGAGGAGAGUGGAAUUCCCGGUGUAGCAGUGAAAUGCGUAGAGAUCGGGAGGAACAUCAGUUGCGAAGGCGGCUCUCUGGACCAACACUGACACUGAGGCACGAAAGCGUGGGGAGCAAACAGGAUUAGAUACCCGGGUAGUCC
rnacentral:rRNA from 1 species